GGCCCCGACGGGCAUCAGCAAUUGGUGGAGGGGCGGGGCCCAGGGACGCGACUGCCUGCGGAUUGGCCGGACCUGGCGGGGGCGGGCCCGCGCAUGCACUUAAGGAGAGGCGCCCCAGUCGAGCCGGGGUAGUGCCAAGAUGUCGGCGGCAGUGCCGGAGCUGAAGCAGAUCAGCCGUGUGGAAGCUAUGCGCCUGGGGCCGGGUUGGAGCCACUCGUGCCACGCCAUGCUGUACGCCGCCAACCCCGGGCAGCUUUUCGGCCGCAUCCCUAUGCGCUUCUCGGUGCUGAUGCAGAUGCGCUUCGACGGGCUGCUGGGUUUCCCCGGGGGCUUCGUGGACCGGCGCUUUUGGUCUCUGGAGGACGGUCUGAACCGGGUGCUGGGCCUGGGCCUGGGCUGCCUGCGCCUCACGGAGGCCGACUACCUGAGCUCGCACCUGACCGAGGGCCCGCACCGCGUCGUGGCGCACCUGUACGCACGGCAGCUGACGCUGGAGCAGCUGCACGCCGUGGAAAUCAGCGCGGUGCAUUCGCGCGACCACGGCCUGGAGGUGGGGCCGCCGCCCGGGCCCCGCCCCCCGCCCCGGGGUUUGGCUCUGGCCCCGUGGAAGGCACCGAUGGGUGCUGGGGCUUGUGCGUGUUCCACUUUACACCCAAAAGGACCGAGUCGGUGGCUUUCCCAACUUCCUGAGCAACGCCUUUACCAGCACUGCCAAGUACCAGCUGCUCUUCGCCCUCAAGGUGCUCAACAUGAUGCCCGAGGAGAAGCUGGCUGAGGCUUUGGCUGCUGCCACAGAGAAGCAGAAGAAAGCCCUGGAAAAGCUCCUCCCAUCUUCCUCCUGAGUCCACAGGCCGCUCCAGGACCUGGUAUGGAAGCACUGGCCGAGUGUGCAGAAUGACAACAGCAGAGCCACCACAGAUGGGAAGGUCACCACUGGCCAUCUCCUACGGCCCUAUGUCUGCAAAGACUCCUCAGUGAAGCUAAACCAGUUUGCACGGCACCUGCUUGGCCUGGAUGGGGAUGAGGCCACCAGCUGUCGGACACUUUGGGAGACUCACCCAUUUCCUGGACUCGAUCCUCCAGUGCUCCGGAAAGCUCGGGGAGGCUCAGAGCCUGCAGGGAAGCCUGCCAGCCUUUGGAAUCUGUGGGGCAGAGAGCCAGGUGGGCCUAGGGCUUGUGUGGUCACCACAGGCCCCGCCGCUUUGUCCUGGGCUGCUGACACCAGGGAACCCACCCACUGUCAGUACCUGCUUGACAAUGUUCUAUCAAAAUGUGUUCGCCUGCUUAUUUUUCCAAAGCACUGACUGGAGGGUCAAUCAGGGUGCAGCCCCAGGAAUGAAAGUGUGAGGGUCCCUGGCUGACAGUCAGGCUUGACCCUGGGUAGCUCCUACUGCAGGCUGAAGAAGUCACAACAUUGUGGAGGACGUUAAGUCCCACCCCAGGGAGGCACGAUGCUUGGGGCCCCAUUUGCUGCCUGGGUCUGCCCCGCAGAAAGGAACAGCCACAAUGAAACGGAUGAUGGUGGCGAGUACUCCAAGAGGCCUUUAAGAACAACCACCUGGUUGAAGAAUCUGGAGGAAUCAGCGACUCAGGGUCUGGCCUGGGAGCAGCUCAGAUGCCCACUCACCGCAGCUGGUCCAAGAUGAGCGCAGCGUCCCGGGCCAGGGCCCAGGUCUCCUGCAGCUGGGCGUGCACGUCCUUCCGGGCACCGUCCUGCUCCAGGAGGCAGCUCUCCACCACCGCCCGCAGCUCCUGCUCCUGCGACACCUGGCCUCGCAUGGCCUCCACCUCCUCACAGCGCUGCAGACGGAGAGGCGGGGAGGGGGGGGUGGCAAAUGACCAGGGCCGGUCAGGCUGGGUCCCCCUCAACCUCUCUGUGCCAUACCCACUCGCUCUCAACUCCCACUCUCCUGGGCUGGAGGAAGGGAGCGCCUGUCUCCACCUUGGAGCACCCCCUGCUUUGGAUCCCUACUCUUAAGCCCAGUGACAUCCAUGCCAGCUGCUUGUGCUCUGACCUCACCCUUUCUCUCCUAUGUCCAGCUGACCUCCUGUCCAACGUCCCCUGCCUUUCUGAGCCGUCUUCCUGGGGCCUGCCUGUGCAUCUCCAGAUUUACACACAAGCAGUAAUGCUUUCUGUCCCACCGCCCGCCCUGACUGCUUCUUCCUGCUCCCCCUGGGUAUUUGUCCCCACCACUCGGUCUCCACAAAUGUGUCAUCCCUCACUGCAGGUGGGUGUCUAGGUCCCUGCCCCGCUCACCACAUACUUUGUGCAGCUGGAUGGCCAGCUCCUGCAUCUCAGCUUCUAGCCGGUCGGCAUACGCCAGCUCCAGAGCAUCGCUGGGUGGCCGGGCACUGCUGUGCCAGCGGGCAAUGGCAGAGGUCAUCUUCCUCUUAGGCCCAAACAAGCUGCAAGGGUGAAUGAGAGAAUGAGGAUCUGCUGUGUGUGGAGUUGCCACGGAGGCCAGCCUUCCACCAAGACAGCCCCCUAGGAAAGAUUCCAAUUUUGGAAGGGCACAGUGGUCCCGGAUCCUGGGACAGAUGACAGAAACAAAGGGUCUUAAGAAGUGACCACAGCAGGGGCUGGCCUGCCCAGUUUCCUUCCCCAGCCUGGCUGCUGCUCUCCCUGAACAGGGAGCUCAGGCCGGCCGGGGCUAGGCUGUGACUGGCCUCCUACCAAUCGGGAAGCUCUCCAAAGUGAAUGGUAGAAAACGUCUGGGUGCCCUUAUCACAGCACUGGCAGCCAGGCCAGCCGGGGGACCAGACCCAGGCCUUUGGCACCUCAGCUAGCUGCAGCCGGAACACCAGAGAGAGGACAGCUGGCUGCAGAGAGCAAGGGGACGCCCAGACAGGACAGGUGGUUCCAUCGGAGCGUUGGGCAGUUGGGAGCUAAGCGACCCCCUCAUGUUUGGCUGAAGCGAGGGGGGCGUGGCCACAGAGGCCCCUCUGCACUCACGUGAUGCCGAUUUCCUUCAGGUCGCUCUCGGUGAGGGUCAGGAAAAUGCGGAGGUCCACGUCCUGCUCCUCAAACACCUGCAGGUACUUGAGACACCCAAUCUGCUCCAGCAGUGUGGCUAGGUCCUGGAGAGCAAAGGAGCCGGGGUGGGUCAGAGGAUGGGCGGGCCACCAAGACACGGGGGCCAGAGAAGACACUGCUUUGGUGCAGAUCCUGUCACUGCAUCCACCUAAGCCGGGUCAGCCCUGUGGACCCCCCAAGUUCUGCGGUGGGCCACCUCUGACUGCAGCCCCCUCCUCUGCAGCCUCAGGCAGAGCAGGUGGUCCAGAGAUACUUCCCACCUGCCUGUGUCCCUGCAGCCAGUGUCCUUUCAUUACAGCCUGGACACCGUUCGUGUUCACAUAGGGCAGGUCUGCAGGCAACAAACUCUUAAGUCUUUUUUUUACCUGCGGCCUUCUUAAUUUCUCCUUCACUCCUGAAGGACAGUUUCUGCUUGGCUAUAGCAUUCUUGGUUGGUUUGUUUCUUCCAUUAAUCUGACUCUGUCAUCAAAUGCCCUCUAGACCCCAUGGUUUCUAAUGGGAAAUUAGCAGUUAAUCUCAUGGGGGUUCCUUGUAUAAAGACUCC